rnacentral:rRNA from 1 species
UACGUAGGUGGCGAGCGUUAUCCGGAAUUACUGGGCGUAAAGGGUGUGUAGGCGGGACUGCAAGUCAGAUGUGAAAAUUACGGGCUUAACCUGUAAACUGCAUUUGAAACUGUGGUUCUUGAGAGCCGGAGGGGUAAAUGGAAUUCCCAGUGUAGCGGUGAAAUGCGUAGAUAUUGGGAGGAACACCAGUGGCGAAGGCGAUUUACUGGACGGCAACUGACGCUGAGACACGAAAGUGUGGGGAGCAAAUAGG